rnacentral:lncRNA from 9 species
AUGGGGCUGCGGGCGAAAUUUUCCGAGCCUCCUCGCCUGCGGCGCCCCCUCCUCAGCUCCCUGAGCGCUCCCCUCCCCCGGGGCCCGCACGCCCAGCCGAGGGAUGCAGGGUGCGCGGGGAUAUGCGAGGAUGCGCGGCGCUGCAGGCGCGGCCCAGGGCCCCUCGGGGGUCGCGUCACCGAGGAGGCGAAGCCGGGAGCUGGAUGGUCAAUGCCUUCCGCCCUGGGGGUAACAGUCCCCCUUCUCCAGCCCAGACCUCCCCAAAGCGCGCGCGGACCUCCCAAAGGAGCCGGGGGUGGGGUCCCCAAGCACCCCGCGCUCUCACCGCUUCUCCUCUGCUCUGCCUUCUUCUCCGGCUCAAGCUCCAGCCCGGCCGCCUCCUGGGCUCCCCCCGGAGUGGGAGGGAGCCUCGGUCCCGCCUCCGCGCCCUUUCUCUCCCAGGCCGCGCACCAGGGCGCUGGGCUUUCGGCGUGCGGACCUACUACCCUGCCGACCGACGGACGCGUGUGCCUGCUGCCGGACGCCGGAAUCCCGCGGCAGGGCUCUGGCUUUCAGCAGAUUCUUCUCCACGGAGGUUGUGACCCCAAAGAUUCAGAGUUGAUGCUGUAACACCCUUAUGUUACAGACAAGGAUCUGAGGAUUCCGGGAUGGAGAAGAAACUGGCUCAAAGUUACAUGGAAAUUUAGCAGCAAGUUGGAAAGAACCCAUGACUCCAGACUGUAUAAUGCUAUUUAAGGUCUGACUAAAUGUCACCUCCUCCAGGAAGCCUUCCCUGAACUUGUCCCAUCUUCCUCUGUGUUCCUUUGCACAUACCUUGAUGUGACACCCUAUAUCACAAUGAGCCACUUCAAUGGAAUUUGUCCCUGCUAGAAUGAGCCAUCCAUGAGAUCGGAGACUGUGUCUUACUCAUCUUUGUGUGGUGUGGCUGGUGUUUAUUACUUAAUCGCUAUCGUUUAUUGAGUACCUAUUAUGUGCCAAGGCACUUUUGUAAUGCUCAUUCCAUUUCACAGUUGUCCCACAAGGUAGGUAAUAUUGUCCUCAUUUCACAUAUGGAAAAAAAUCUCCUGGAGCUCAGAGGUUUGCCCAAGUUCCCACAGAGAGUGAGUGGUAGUGCUGAGAUUUGAAUCCCAAACCCUUUUGCACCUCCCACUUCACCAGUGGUGUUUUUUUCAGUCGUUAAUGAAUAGCAUCCCGCUGAGGAUCUGGAGCAGCAGGGCCCUAAUGGCCCCCUCUCCACUGGGCUCUGGAGCAUCUGGAAGUACAAAGCCCUGCUCCCAGGGCUUCCUGGGAGAAAAGGAUUCUAAGGAGGUGAAAGGAAUCUUUGAGGAGCUCACAAACCCCUGGGGAGAUGGCUCAGACACCAGUAGAGAAGCCAGUAGAACAAAAGCAAUCCAUCAUGAACUCUUUAAAAUUUACUGUAUGCCUGCAUGACAUGCCUAGCAGAGGAAUCCCAGGAUUUUCUCUUCUGUGUGUUUCUGUCUUGCUUCCUUGCGGCCAUAAUACCAGCUGAGGUCGUCAGUACAAUUACUUCCAACUGAUGAGAUGGGAGAAGACAAUUCUGCUACUUUUCUAGAUCUUUGAGUUACACAUCCAACCUGGGUCUGACUAUGCUUCUUUAACCUGUAUAUGAGGGAACUUCCAUAUGUGUGGGUGCAGCCCUAAAAAGCAAAAACAAAGAAACAUUGUUGGUGGGCAUGUGAAUUGGUGCAACCAUGUUGGGAAAUAGUCUGGCUUUAUCUCCUAAAGCUGAGCAGAUACAUAUCCUAUGACCCAGCAAUUUUCUUUUCUUUUUUUUUUUUUUUUUUUUUUUUUGCUUUUUUAGGGCCACACCUGUGGCAUAUGGAUGUCCCCAAGCUAGGGGUCUAAUUGGAGCUACAGCUCCCAGCCUACACCACAGCCAUAGCAACACGCUGGAUCCGAGCCGCGUCUGCGACCUACACCACAGCUCAUGACAAUGCCAGAUUCUUAACCCACUGAGCAAGGUCAGGGAUUGAACCCUCAACCUCGUGAUUCCUAGUCGGAUUCACUUCCAUUGUGCCACGAUGGGAACUCCUAACCUAGCAAUUCAAAUCCAAAGUACCCACUGUGGAAAAAUUCUUGCCCAUCUACACCAAGAACUACAUGGAAGACUAUUCACGGGGGUGCUGGCCACAGUAGCCCAAAUUGGGAAACACCCACGUCCCCAUCUAUGGGAGAGCAGAUGAAUAAAUUCCCAUGAUAAAAUAUUACUUGGCAGUCAACAUAAAGGAACUAUGGCCACAUGUUGCAAUGUGGGUGGAUCUCAGAGAGAGAAUAUCCAAUGAAAUAUGUUCCAUUACAUGCACACAAUAUCCUUUCGAUUAAGUUAAAAGCAACUAGGG